rnacentral:rRNA from 1 species
UACGUAGGGAGCAAGCGUUGUCCGGAAUUACUGGGCGUAAAGAGCGUGUAGGCGGCCUUUUAAGUCAGAUGUGAAAACUCAGGGCUCAACCCUGAGAGUGCAUCUGAAACUGGAGGGCUUGAGUGCAGGAGAGGAAAGUGGAAUUCCUAGUGUAGCGGUGAAAUGCGUAGAUAUUAGGAGGAACACCAGUGGCGAAGGCGACUUUCUGGACUGUAACUGACGCUGAGACGCGAAAGCGUGGGGAGCAAACAGG